rnacentral:pre_miRNA from 1 species
GUCAAUCGAUGGUUGAAUUUCGAAUGACAGAUCAGUGCGCGAGAAGGAAGACUAG